UAUUUUCUCAUUUUUACCAUAUAAUUAUAAAAUAAAUUAUUUGGAAUAUAAAUAUUGUUCUUACAUUGCAGUGUAUGGUAUGUAGAGCAGUAUAAACAAGUCAUUGCAUGAAAUUUUGGUUUAUACGGACUUUGCUGGGGCUUUUUAUGAAGCCUGUUGCAAAACUAGGCAAAUAUCUAGAUGAGUUGAUGUGCCUCCUGAAAGACCUCUGAGUACCCCCGGGGUACACAUGCCCCUGUUUGGGAACCACUGCUUUAAGCUACUUUUAUGCCUCCAGUAAUCUGGGUCAGCCAGGUAUCUACCUGGGUGCCAGUGUAAAUUAGACCUCAUCAGGCUGCUCUCACUUGCACUGUGCUUCUGGUGACACCACAUGGGAGACAGAGAAUAGUCAGAGGAUAGAUUGUUCGGGCCAUGUUGAUGUACUGCCCUGCCCAAGCCCCAUUGGCUGAAGGGUUUGUAGGGAGUUCUAAUGGCCAAAAAGGCAAGUGAUACAGCAGCCAGCAGAUUACAAACUACACUAAACCUUAAACAAACAAACAAAAGACUGAUUUAUAAAUCCAUCGGACAAUGUGUAAGUGACUUAUUUAUAAUUCAUGACUUUGAAGCCCUUCCGUUACCACAUUCACAAACCCUUCUCUCUCACUUUGAACACGUUGAGUUCUAAAUUUGGAAUGCAUUUCAAAUCUGUUUUUGUUUCCCCUCCGAAUCUGGAUUCAGCAGUAACUGCCAGGAAAAUGUUAUUUAAUUUGCAUCUACUGUCUGAUCGAGUGGCAUUCUUUGUGACUGUACUGAGAUGGAUUGUCUCCUUGAGCUGCAGAGUCUUUUAUCAGUUGGAGUUCAGAGGUUACAUCAAAAAUUGCCUGCCUGCUGCCUCAUGUGACAUUUGAACUCUAAAGGUCAAGAGAUCAUGAGGCCAUAAAGUAAGGCGAAAGCACUAAAGGUGUCAUUCCUAUUGUUCUCAAAGGACAAGAGUUUAAGACAAGAUCACAUGAUUCAUGGGGUAGGGAAGGGUGAGAUAAUGUAAGGGAAGAUCAGGAAAAACAGUGAAUACAUGUUGCAAUUAAGAACCAGUUGGUAUCCAAACUGUAUUACGGAUUUGUUUUGUUUGUGGGAUAUUUUCUGAUCAUUACUGGUACGCUGUUGACUUGAUCUCUGGAGGAAUAGUAAUCUUCCUCUCUCUUUUUUGUGCGUGCGUGUGGAUGGGUAUUUGCGUGGUCCGCAUAAUGAGUGAGAAAGCAUAUACCUCUGUGUUGAGGCACUGCAUGAUAACACUUUGUGUGCAUAUGCAAAGUAUCACCUGUCCAGAGUAGAACAAAUCUGAAAACUCCUCUAGGAUAUAUUUCAUUGUCUCUUACAGUGGGGAAUAAAGGAAAAAAUAUUGCGGCUGGAGUACUGGGAUUAGACUAAGAUGCACCAUCUUCUUACCUUCAGCCAUUGCCACAAGCUACAGCAACCCUGGAGUGACACACUCAGGCAAUGCAUUAUUAGUGGAUUUUUUUUCCAUGUGGGAUGAUGGAGAGCAAGGCGUAAUGCACACUUCAGUGUGCUGGGACGUUUCCCCUGUCAUUUUUAAGGAUGAUCCACAAUGUGUGAAUAUCACCCACAAGUGAGGCCUAAUUACGUUUCUCAAGUGAGCAUGUUGCAUUUUCGAGGAAGUCUUAAACGAGCACUUAAGCUGUAAUGCUUCUGAGCGCACCACUGUGGAUUUUAAGGGUUGCUUUGUAUCCUGAAGACAGUGCUGAGCUACUAGCAGCCUAGUCCCACAAGUACUUUUAUCACAGAGUUAUUAGACCAUUAUGGUCUACGAUUGUCUUUUACUGCCUUUGAUUUCUUCUGUUGUCAGACGUGAGGAAAGUGAUGUGUAAUCUGAUCCAAAAUGCUCUUGUUUGUUUUAAUCUACUGUUUUAAUAUAUUAUGGCUUCCUGCCAUUAAGCUUUUCUGAGAUGGACCCUAGAGUCAUUCGCUGAGGUUUUGUAUGUACAGAAUCUGAAGGGCACUUUUCAGAUGUGCCUGCCCUAUAAUAGGCAGCGCUAAUCUUAUUUUUCUGUGGGUUUUAUGUAUGGCAGGGUGCGUGGGUGUCUGCAUGUGCCAGUGGCUUGAAACAAAGCUACAACAAUAGCCAGACGCUGCCAUCUCUGGUGUCCUACCAUCCUUUGCCAUUAGUGCUGUUACCCAUCCUUAGGCAAUGAACCCAAGGACCCACAAAGGCCAGAUUUUCCAAGUUACGAUACACAACUGGCACAUCUCUAUAUGCCCAACUUAUAGGAACAAAUACGUGGUGAUUCACAAACAUACAAUGGGGUAUGUGUACCCACAGGUAGGC